rnacentral:rRNA from 1 species
UACGUAGGGGGCAAGCGUUGUCCGGAAUUAUUGGGCGUAAAGCGCACGCAGGCGGUCGCACGCGUUUCCGGUGCCAGCCUCGUUGCUUACCGACGGGAGUGCCGGGAAGACGGUGUGACUGGAGCACCUCAGAGGGACAUAGAAUCCGGGUGGAGUGGUGAAAUGCGUAGAUAUCCGGAGGAAUACCAAUGGCGAAGGCAGUGUCCUGGGAGGUCGCUGACGCUCAGGUGCGAAAGCCAGGGGAGCGAACGGG